rnacentral:rRNA from 1 species
CAAAGGAAUUGACGGGGCCCGCACAAGCGGUGGAUGAUGUGGUUUAAUUCGAUGCAACGCGAAAACCUUACCCACCUUUGACAUGUACGGAAUCCUUUAGAGAUAGAGGAGUGCUCGAAAGAGAGCCGUAACACAGGUGCUGCAUGGCUGUCGUCAGCUCGUGUCGUGAGAUGUUGGGUUAAGUCCCGCAACGAGCGCAACCCUUGUCCUUAGUUGCUACAUUAAGUUGAGCACUUUAAGGAGACUGCCGGAGACAAUCCGGAGGAAGGUGGGGAUGACGUCAAGUCCUCAUGGCCCUUAUGGGUAGGGCUUCACACGUCAUACAAUGGUCGGUACAGAGGGUAGCCAACCCGCGAGGGGGAGCAAAUCUCACGAAACCGAUCCUAGUCCGGAUUGUAGUCUGCAACUCGACUACAUGAAGCUGGAAUCACUAGUAAUCGCGGAUCAGAAUGCCACGGUGAAUACGUUCCCGGGUCUU